UACGAGGGGGGCAAGCGUUGUUCGGAAUUAUUGGGCGUAAAGGGCGCGUAGGCGGUGCGGUAAGUCUGAUGUGAAAUCUCCGGGCUCAACUCGGAGUCUGCAUCAGAAACUGCCGUGCUUGAGUGUGGGAGAGGUGAGUGGAAUUCCGCGUGUAGCAGUGAAAUGCGUAGAGAUGCGGAGGAACACCGAUGGCGAAGGCAGCCCCCUGGGCUAACACUGACGCUCAGGCACGAAAGCGUGGGGAGCAAACAGG
rnacentral:rRNA from 1 species